UAUAGAUGAAGGUAUGGACCGUGCUCUGAAGCAGCUUAGACAGAGACCAGAGGUUGGGGGUUGGGGGGAGGAAAACCUGGUCAGAGAGAGGAGGGCCACCUGCUAAUGACGUUGUUGGAGCUUCAUAUCCAAACAUGCCACUAAUGUGCCUCAGAUGUCCUAGGUACUUGACACACAAUUUCCUUUCUCUGUUUGAAGUUGAGUAUCUGUCACUUGCAAUCAAAAUCAAACAGGUUCAAACUAAUACGCGGCUCAGGUCCCUCCUGCCUUCUUUGGCAAGUGUCAGCAGAGAGUGAAAGUUUGGGGGAUCUCUUCAUCUCACUGUCCGCCGAGGCUGAAUGUGUUUCCCGCCAAGGAGCCUCCACUGACACCAAUGGUUCGUAAGCUGCUGGGUUGGUAGAGAAUUUGAAGAGAUAAGGGUGGAAGUUGGAACGGCAGGUGGGAAGUCAGAGAGCAAACAGAAGAGCACUUGAGCUGCAGAGUUAGGUGAACCUGAACCACUUACUUUUCUGGACCCGAAAAGUGGAAAGAGUGUUAUCUUCCUCACAGACUUGAGUGAGCAUCACAUGAGGAUUCUCAGGAGAGAGGACUCGGGACCCAAGUUAAACAGUUUUUUUAAAGAUUUAUUUAUUUGAGGGAGAGAGAAAGAGAGAGAGAGAGAAAGCACAAGCGGGAGGAGCAGAGGAAGAAGGAGAGAGAGAAUCACAAGCAGACUUCUUGCUGAGUGUGGAGGUCAACACUGGGCUCGAUCUGACGACCCUGAGAUCCUGAUCUGAGCUGAAACCAAGAGUCGACCGCUUUACCAACUGCGCCAGGUUCCCCAGGUUAGUUUUAUCCUGUUUGCUUAUUUACAUCAUUUAUUCAACAUAUUAUUACCACAAAUGUAAACAAAGCCCAGCUCCUACCUUCCAGGAGCUCUGAAUCAUUAAUUCAGAAGCCUGCUGCAAGAGCUGGAGUUAGGGAGAGAGGAUGGGAAGGAUCACCGACCCCGGGGCCAGUGGGGUUGUCUGUGGCACUACUGGGUGUGAUGGCGUGCUUCUUCUCCGGAAGGCUGAGCUGCUGAUGGGCAGGAGCAGGGAAGCCGAUUGGCAAGGUCAUGGAAUACAGAGAGAGGCAGGAAAAUGGUCUCAGAAAAGAAAAUCAUCUCUGUCAUCACUGAAGGAUUCACAAUAUAGAAAAAGAGACAGCCAUAGAAAUAAAUAACUGUAGCAAUACAAAAAGCAGCACUAGAAAGAGAUGUGUCAAAUUAUGUGGGAACAAAAAAGGGGCAAUUAGAAAGGUAACAUUUGACCUUGGCCAAAGAUGACCUUAUCCCCAUAAGUACUUGGAUGGGAAGCAUUGUAAGCAGAGGGAACAGUAGCUGCAAAGAUAUGGUUGCUUAACUAGUGAGCGCCUGAUAGGAACUGGACAAGAAUAAUAUGUAUGAGCAACAAGACUGUGGAUUUUCCCACAACUCAACUUGAAAUGAUCUCCAGUUGGCUGUUCAGUCCCUCCAGAAAUAUGUCAUUUUGUAAGUAAAUCAAUUCCAAGUGUGAUUUAUAUUCUAAAAAGACUCUGAAAAUCCUUAGUUCUCUGAGGGUGGCUUCAGGAUGUUCCCAGAACACACCAAUAUACAUCAACGUUCAGUGUGAGAAGAGGCAGAGGAUGGGUUUUUAACUGUCAGAAUUGUGGUGCACCUGUCAAAGUACACGGAAUCAGCUACAUAAAUAUCACAGGCCUACCUACUCAGUGACAGCAUAAACUUCACACUUUUUAUCAAGUUAAGAAAUAAAAAUAAAGGAGGACACUCUGUGUGUCUUCUCACGCAAAGUCCAGCUACUUCCACAUCCCGAUUUUCUAUACUUCCUUUCCCCAGGCAAUUUUUUUUCAUGCCAAUUGUAUGUCUUCUUUUACUAAACAAUUUCUCUCCUCUGGUUCUGCACUUAGGGCUAGUGUUUUGCUUUUCAGAAACACUAAGGAUAUGAAAGAACAAAGAAUAUAUUUUGAGCUGCAGUUGCAUCGAAAGGCCAGUAUUCUGGCCAGAGCUUCUGUGAGAGAGAACCGCAAGAACUUUGGUUGGGUGAUUGGCAAUGCUGAGCGAAGCUCGCUGGGGCCAGGACAGGCUGAUGGGCAGAGAGACAAGAUCUUCUGAAACGUAAAUGUGUCCGGCCUCCUCCUCUGCCUCACGACCAGGAAACCAGAGCACUGAAGGCGACUCUUGCAUGAAUAAUGCAUGACAGCCUGGGAUGGUUGUGGCUCUUAAGACUGAUAUUUGUCAGGGGCGCCUGGGUGGCACCACGGUUGGGCGUCUGCCUUCGGCUCAGGGCGUGAUCCCGGCGUUGUGGGAUCGAGCCCCACAUCAGGCUCCUGUGCUGUGAGCCUGCUUCUUCCUCUCCCA